CCAAUGCAAUUGUCAACCCUGAAUGCCUCUGGUUAAUGCAUUUCUCUGGCUUUGAUGCUCCAUUUCUUCUUUGAGAGGUAGCACGGGUGAUGCUUCCCACGUUUGAUCUGCCUUCAAGCGAUGGGACAAGAUUCCACCAGAUAGUAAAUGCUUCCAGUAUUAGCAACUAGUUGAAGCCACGUCGACAGUUGAUGGUUCUGCAAUUUUUUCUGCAGUAGAGUCGCUCAAUUUCC
rnacentral:lncRNA from 1 species